GCACAAGCGGUGGAGCAUGUGGUUCAAUUCGACGCAACGCGAAGAACCUUACCUGGGCUAGACAACAGUGGACCGUCCUAGAAAUAGGAUUUUCCCUUCGGGGACCGCUGGUUCAGGUGCUGCAUGGCUGUCGUCAGCUCGUGCCGUGAGGUGUUGGGUUAAGUCCCGCAACGAGCGCAACCCUCGUACUUAGUUGCCACCAUUAAGUUGGGCACUCUAGGUAGACUGCCGGCGUUAAGCCGGAGGAAGGUGGGGACGACGUCAAGUCAUCAUGGCCCUUAUGUCCAGGGCCACACACGUGCUACAAUGGGCGGCACAAAGGGUCGCGAACCCGUGAGGGGGAGCCAAUCCCAAAAAGCCGUUCUCAGUUCGGAUUGGAGUCUGCAACUCGACUCCAUGAAGUUGGAAUCGCUAGUAAUCGCGGAUCAGCACGCCGCGGUGAAUACGUUCCCGGGCCUUGUACACACCGCCCGUCACACCAUGGAAGCCAGCUGUACCGGAAGUCGGUGCGCCAACCCGCAAGGGAGGUAGCCGCCCAUGGUAUGACUGGUGACUGGGGUGAAGUCGUAACAAGGUA
rnacentral:rRNA from 1 species